rnacentral:rRNA from 1 species
AAUAAUGUUGUGACAAGUGUUCGAACAAGUGAUGUCGACACCGAUGACUUCCCGAUUAAGAUAGGACUGCAUCAGGGGUCAGCUUUGAGCCCUUAUCUUUUUGCAUUGGUGAUGGAUGAGGUCACAAGGGGUAUACAAGGAGAUAUCCCAUGGUGUAUGCUCUUUGCGGAUGAUGUGGUGCUAGUUGACGAUAGUCGGACGGGGGUAAAUAGGAAGUUAGAGUUAUGGAGGCAAACCUUGGAAUCGAAAGGGUUUAGGCUUAGUAGAACUAAAACCGAGUACAUGAUGUGCGGUUUCAGUACUACUAGCUGUGAGGAGGAGGAGGUUAGCCUUGAUGGCCAGGUGGUACCUCGGAAGGACACCUUUAGGUAUUUGGGGUCAAUGUUGCAGGAGGAUGGGGGUAUUGAUGAAGAUGUGAACCAUCGAAUCAAAGCCGGAUGGAUGAAGUGGCGCCAAGCUUCUGGCAUUCUCUGUGACAAGAGAGUGCCACAAAAGCUAAAAGGCAAGUUCUACAGGACGGCGGUUCGACCCGCAAUGUUGUAUGGCGCGGAGUGUUGGCCGACUAAAAGGCGACAUGUUCAACAGUUAGGUGUGGCGGAGAUGCGUAUGUUGAGAUGGAUGUGUGGCCACACGAGGAAGGAUCGAGUCCGGAAUGAUGAUAUACGAGAUAGAGUUGGGGUAGCACCAAUUGAGGAGAAGCUUGUCCAACAUCGUUUGAGAUGGUUUGGGCAUAUUCAGCGCAGGCCUCCAGAAGCUCCAGUGCAUAGCGGACGGCUA